rnacentral:rRNA from 1 species
AUAUCAAUAAGCGGAGGAAAAGAAACUAACAAGGAUUCCCCUAGUAGCGGCGAGCGAAGCGGGAAGAGCUCAAAUUUAUAAUCUGGCACCUUCGGUGUCCGAGUUGUAAUCUCUAGAAAUGUUUUCCGCGUUGGACCGCACACAAGUCUGUUGGAAUACAGCGGCAUAGUGGUGAGACCCCCGUAUAUGGUGCGGACGCCCAGCGCUUUGUGAUACAUUUUCGAAGAGUCGAGUUGUUUGGGAAUGCAGCUCAAAUUGGGUGGUAAAUUCCAUCUAAAGCUAAAUAUUGGCGAGAGACCGAUAGCGAACAAGUACCGUGAGGGAAAGAUGAAAAGCACUUUGGAAAGAGAGUUAACAGUACGUGAAAUUGUUGGAAGGGAAACGCUUGAAGUCAGACUUGCUUGCCGAGCAAUCGGUUUGCAGGCCAGCAUCAGUUUUCCGGGAUGGAUAAUGGUAGAGAGAAGGUAGCAGUUUCGGCUGUGUUAUAGCUCUCUGCUGGAUACAUCUUGGGGGACUGAGGAACGCAGUGUGCCUUUGGCGGGGGUUUCGACCUCUUCACACUUAGGAUGCUGGUGGAAUGGCUUUAAACGAC